CACCUCCCCGUGCCCCAACAUCCAGCACCCCGGUUCACCCCUGUUCUGGAACACGUGUGUGGACUCAGAUGCACUGAGGCUGAAUCUGCAGGAACAGAGUUUGGAGCUGGCUAGCAGGGACCAUCUGAGUCCGAAGGUUUUGGAACCCGCCCGCCUGCCUGCCCUCCAGAGCAGCCCGAAGCUGAACUGCUUCCUGCAUCUCUGCAGAGCAGGGAGGUACAGAUGAUGCUGGCAGCUCCCCUUCUCCUCUCAUGCCCCUGGACAUCCUCUGUGGUCACCUGCAGGUCUCCUCCAGCCAGCCAGCCGGCUCGCAGUAAGAACCGCCAGGGCACUUGUGAACGUCCAGGCAGUGGCCUCGCCUUGCCAGGGGACUUCAGAUGCCAGCCUCCAGCACCAGGAGGGAUAAACGCCUCUUGUUGAAGCCGCCCCGUCUGGGGUAUCUGCUUUUGGCAGCUGAGCGGACUCAUACUGGUCUAGACGCACAGUCUGUAACCUCUGGGAGGAGGUCCAGGAAUGGAACCAUCCGAGAUGGACUCUCUAAUAUUUUCUGGGAGGAAUCAAGGGACUCCAAUGCUGGAAGCAAGGCCCCUGGAGGACCUCAGGGUGGUGCUGACAGCCCUUUGUGACUCAGGGACUCACCGGUGUCCGCCCAGGCAGUUCCCCUUUCCGUCGGCCUCAGGGAACUGCUCAGGAGAUCUUCUCAUGAGAGGAAUCCCGGCUGCUCCACAGACAGGUGCCAGCGUUCAGACCCUGAGGCUGCCUCUGGCUCCACAAGUGUGGAUGUGCCCAGGCAGGUCUCAAGACGGAGCCUUGAGAAGCAGGAAAGGCCGUGUGGAUGGAGCCCCUGGGGACGGAGAGGAGGAGGAAGGUGGACUGGGUGGAGCAGAGGAGUCAUCUGAUUCACCGUACAGGACAGCGUCCAGCCUUCACGCCGGGACGUCCUCCAGGGACGCCGUCGGGAGUCACAGGCUUCAGGAAGGUAGGUGCUUCGUCUGUAACGUCUUUAGCCUGAAAGGAAGCAGCCUUUAAGGAAAUCUGGAAUGUAAACAUGAGCCUUUGCCCAGAAAAGAAAGAAACUUAUGGACUUGGAGAACAGACUUGUGGUUGCAGAGGGGGAGGGAGUGGGAUGGACGGGGAGUCUGGGGUUAACAGAUGCAAACUAUUGCCUAUGGAAUAGAAAAGCAAUGAGAUCCUGCUGUGCAGCACAGGGAACUAUGUCCAGUCACUUGGGAUAGACCAUGAUGGAGGAUAAUGUGAGAAAAAGAAAUUAUAUAUGUAGGAUUGAGUCACUUUGCUGUACAGUAGAAAUGGACAGAAUACUAUAAAUCUACUAUAAUGGAAACAAUAAAAAUACUAAAUUUAACA
rnacentral:lncRNA from 1 species